AGUGAACGCUGGCGGUAGGCCUAACACAUGCAAGUCGAACGGCAGCACAGUAAGAGCUUGCUCUUACGGGUGGCGAGUGGCGGACGGGUGAGGAAUACAUCGGAAUCUACUUUUUCGUGGGGGAUAACGUAGGGAAACUUACGCUAAUACCGCAUACGACCUACGGGUGAAAGCAGGGGAUCUUCGGACCUUGCGCGAUUGAAUGAGCCGAUGUCGGAUUAGCUAGUUGGCGGGGUAAAGGCCCACCAAGGCGACGAUCCGUAGCUGGUCUGAGAGGAUGAUCAGCCACCCUGGAACUGAGACACGUCCCAGACUCCUACGGGAGGAAGCAGUGGGGAAUAUUGGACAAGGGGCGCAAGCCUGAUCCAGCCAUACCGCGUGGGUGAAGAAGGCCUUCGGGUUGUAAAGCCCUUUUGUUGGGAAAGAAAAGCAGCAGGUUAAUACCCCGCGGUUCUGACGGUACCCAAAGAAUAAGCACCGGCUAACUUCGUG
rnacentral:rRNA from 1 species